ensembl:snoRNA SNORD115 Small nucleolar RNA SNORD115
ACGCUGAUGAUGAAACCUCCUACUGUCUCUAAGAGAGAUGAUGACUUAAAAAAUCAUGCUCAAUAGGAUCAUACUGAGGCCC